GUUUGUGUGCUCUUCUUUAUGCUUCUAUUUGCGAACUGAUUUUAAUGUUUUUGUUGUUUCCUUUUCGUUCUCACCUACUGUCAGUAGUUGGUUUAGUUUGAUUUUCAAUGGUGUUGUUGUUUUGCUUUACAUACUUUCUCCGUGUUGAGUGAUUGGUUCUUUGUUGUUGAGUGAAGUAUCGGAGGUGGUUUGUAUUUUAAUUUUGUCUAAGCUGAAUCGUUCCUUUUGACACUUGGAACCAAAUUAUUUCCAGUGGCUUUGUGAUGAUGACAGAUAAUAUGAGGGCUUUAUUCACUUAACGCUCUUUGAUUGACACAAUUUGAUGAUAAGAUUAUUUCAUAUAAUGAAUGUAGUAAAUCUCUUUUGGCGAAUUGAAAUCUGAUUAGAUUUGAAUUUGUUGUUUUGUAAAUGUAUUUGUACAAGACUAAAAUUAUUUUCUCCUUUUCUUUUCUUUUCUUUUGCUUCCUACAUUUAGCAAAAAAGUUAAUUUUUCCAAUACACUUUCCCUUGAAUCUACCUAGGUAGGACCAUUAUUGUAUUGUUCAAGUUUGUAGAGAAAAUAAUAGAAGAGUUUGCAUAUUUUGCUGAAUUUA
rnacentral:lncRNA from 1 species